rnacentral:rRNA from 1 species
GACGAACGCUGGCGGCGUGCUUAACACAUGCAAGUCGAACGGUGAAGGGAUCAGCUUGCUGGUUCUGGAUGAGUGGCGAACGGGUGAGUAACACGUGAGUAACCUGCCCCCUUCUUCUGGAUAACCGCAUGAAAGUGUGGCUAAUACGGGAUAUUCUGCUCCUGCUGCAUGGUGGGUGUGGGAAAGAUAUUGUUUCGGUGGGGGAUGGUCUCGCGGCCUAUCAGCUUGUUGGUGGGGUGAUGGCCUACCAAGGCGGUGACGGGUAGCCGGCCUGAGAGGGGGGACGGUCGGACUGGGACUGAGACACGGCCCAGAAGCGUACGGGAGGGAGGAGUGGGGAAUAUUGCACAAUGGGGGCAAGCCGGAUGAAGCGACGCCGCGUGAGGGAUGGAGGCCUUCGGGUUGUGAUCCUAUUUGGGAAGUGAAGAAGGCCUGUUCCUUGUGGGUGGGUUGACGGUAGCUGGACAAGAAGCGCCGGCUAACUACGUG